GCCAAAAUAGCUCAGUUGGGAGAGUGUUAGACUGAAGAUCUAAAGGUCCCUGGUUUGAGGCCGGGUUUCAACA
rfam:Neotoma lepida isolate 417 scaffold_7777, whole genome shotgun sequence.